ensembl:snRNA U2 U2 spliceosomal RNA
AUCGCUUCUCGGCCUUUUGGCUAAGAUCAAGUGUAGUAUCUGUUCUUAUCAGUUUAAUAUCUGAUACGUCCCCUACCCGGGGACCAUAUAUUAAAUUGAUUUUUGGAGCAGGGAGAUGGAAUAGGGGCUUGCUCCGUCCACUCCGCGCAUCGACCUGGUAUUGCAGUACCUCCAGGAACGGUGCGACCCCC